CGGGGGGGCUAGCGUUGUUCGGAAUUACUGGGCGUAAAGGGCUCGUAGGUGGCCAACUAAGUCAUGCGUGAAAUCCCUCGGCUUAACCGGGGAACUGCGUCUGAUACUGGAUGGCUUGAAUCCGGGAGAGGGAUGCGGAAUUCCAGGUGUAGCGGAGAAAUGCGUAGAUAUCUGGAGGAACACCGGUGGCGAAGGCGGCAUCCUGGACCGGCAUUGACACUGAGGAGCGAAAGCCAGGGGAGGCAAACGGGAUUAGAUACCCCGGUAGUCCUGGCCCUAAACGAUGAAUGCUUGGUGUGACGGGUAUCGAUCCCUGUCGUGCCGAAGCUAACGCAUUAAGCAUUCCGCCUGGGGAGUACGGUCGCAAGGCUG
rnacentral:rRNA from 1 species